CCUACGGGUGGCAGCAGUGGGGAAUAUUGCGCAAUGGGCGAAAGCCUGACGCAGCGACGCCGCGUGAGGGAUGAAGGUCUUCGGAUCGGAAACCUCUGUCAGCAGGGAAGAACGGUCAAUGUGCUAAUCAGCAGUGAAUUGACGGUACCUGCAAAGGAAGCACCGGCUAACUCCGUGCCAGCAGCCGCGGUAAUACGGAGGGUGCGAGCGUUAAUCGGAAUUACUGGGCGUAAGGCGCGCGUAGGCGGUAUGUCAAGUCAAGGGUGAAAUCCCCGCGCUCAACGUGGGAACUGCCUUUGAUACUGGCAACCUGGAGUGUGGGAGAGGAUAGUGGAAUUCCAGGUGUAGGAGUGAAAUCCGUAGAUAUCUGGAGGAACAUCAGUGGCGAAGGCGACUAUCUGGCACAUAACUGACGCUGAGGAGCGAAAGCGUGGGUAGCAAACAGGAUUAGAUACCCGAGUAGUC
rnacentral:rRNA from 1 species